UACCGCGCGCCGAGAGGCGACGGGAUGAACGUGCAGAAGUCAGCCGAGGCCGUAGUAGCGAUGCAAAACCGGCAUCGCGAAGGGC
rnacentral:ncRNA from 1 species